CGGACGGGUGAGUAAUGCUUGGGAAUCUGGCUUAUGGAGGGGGAUAACUACGGGAAACUGUAGCUAAUACCGCGUAAUAUCUUCGGAUUAAAGGGUGGGACUUUCGGGCCACCUGCCAUAAGAUGAGCCCAAGUGGGAUUAGGUAGUUGGUGGGGUAAAGGCCUACCAAGCCGACGAUCUCUAGCUGGUCUGAGAGGAUGACCAGCCACACUGGAACUGAGACACGGUCCAGACUCCUACGGGAGGCAGCAGUGGGGAAUAUUGCACAAUGGGGGGAACCCUGAUGCAGCCAUGCCGCGUGAAUGAAGAAGGCCUUCGGGUUGUAAAGUUCUUUCGGUGAUGAGGAAGGUGUUUGUUUUAAUAGAACAAGCAAUUGACGUUAGUCACAGAAGAAGCACCGGCUAACUCCGCGCCAGCAGCCGCGGUAAUACGGAGGGUGCGAGCGUUAAUCGGAAUGACUGGGCGUAAAGGGCACGCAGGCGGUGACUUAAGUGAGAUGUGAAAGCCCCGAGCUUAACUUGGGAAUUGCAUUUCAUACUGGGUCGCUAGAGUAUUUUAGGGAGGGGUAGAAUUCCACGUGUAGCGGUGAAAUGCGUAGAGAUGUGGAGGAAUACCGAAGGCGAAGGCAGCCCCUUGGGAAUAUACUGACGCUCAUGUGCGAAAGCGUGGGGAGCAAACAGGAUUAGAUACCCUGGUAGUCCACGCUGUAAACGCUGUCGAUUUGGGGAUUGGGCUUAGAGCUUGGUGCCCGUAGCUAACGUG
rnacentral:rRNA from 1 species